rnacentral:rRNA from 1 species
CCUACGGGCGGCUGCAGUGGGGAAUAUUGGACAAUGGGCGAAAGCCUGAUCCAGCCAUGCCGCGUGUGUGAAGAAGGCCUUCGGGUUGUAAAGCACUUUCAGUGGGGAAGAAAGCCUUGGGGCUAAUACCCUCGAGGAGGGACAUCACCCACAGAAGAAGCACCGGCUAACUCCGUGCCAGCAGCCGCGGUAAUACGGAGGGUGCGAGCGUUAAUCGGAAUUACUGGGCGUAAAGCGCGCGUAGGCGGUCUGAUAAGCCGGUUGUGAAAGCCCCGGGCUCAACCUGGGAACGGCAUCCGGAACUGUCAGGCUAGAGUGCAGGAGAGGAAGGUAGAAUUCCCGGUGUAGCAGUGAAAUGCGUAGAGAUCGGGAGGAAUACCAGUGGCGAAGGCGGCCUUCUGGACUGACACUGACGCUGAGGUGCGAAAGCGUGGGUAGCAAACAGGAUUAGAUACCCGUGUAGUC